GUAACUUAUAAAAUGGCGGCGUCCACAUGUAUACGUCCUUCCCGGGAUUAGCCAGGCAGCUAGAGGAUGACUUAAUAAGGAGAGUGGAGAAACUGGCCAAUUAAUGAACAUGCCCUGAUCAUUAAUCCACCACUGAAGGAAGUCAGAGCAGAAACUCAAGCAGGGACUUGAAGAAGAAACCAUGGAGGAAUACGGCUUGCUGGCUCACCUUUCAAGAUGUUCAACUUGGCUGCUCCAGCUACCAUGCCUGCUGCCUGCCACCUCCACUCUGUCAUGGAACUAAGGAAGACCACUGAAGCCACCGCAGACAGCAGAACCUCAAUCAGCUUGAAAGAGAAUGGGCUCAACAAAAGAGCAAACUGUCAACAGUGAUGAUGAGGUGCAACAUUCAACUUCACAGUUCUUGGAAUCGUAAGGAAAUUUAAAAGUCAAUGUUUUUUUUAAUCCCAUUGUUCUAAGCUGUAACAAUCCUAUAAACGCUAGGAUUUCUGGUGCAGAAAACAGGUAUGCCAGAAACAGUACAGCUUAUAAUGAUUCUAUGUUUUCUAGGACUCUUCGGUAAGAUUCAGUUCUGCAGAGGCCUUCUUACUUUCUGUCCUUUCAUGAUAGCUGUAGCAAGUCACUCUGAGAGGAGACCUUAACAAAAGGCAGCAGACUAUCCUGUAUCCUCAUCCUGUAUCCUCAUAUUCACUACUGUACACUGUACUGGUUGAGUUUGAAAGUCCUUCAGCAACUGACAAGCUGCAGCAAAGCUUGUUGUUUUUUUGAGAAAUGUUUCUCUCUGUCCAGUGGUUUCAUUUCCUGAGACUCAGAUAAACGUGGAUUUUCAGUGCUUAACAUGUUCAGUGUAUGCAUUAGUACCCAUAGACUCCAGUACUAAAGACAUACCAGAUCACAUAAACUAAGACACUAUUCCACAACUUCCUUAGUGUUCUCUUCACUUGAAUGGCCUGGCUGUGGAUCAGCAGCGGGUUCUGGUGGUCCCAGACAAUGUUCUUUAUUAAAUUCACGCCUCUGCUUUUUUUCAUUUUCCUCUAGACCUGCCACUAAUUUGUAUACUAUGCUUUGUAAUUGUGGAUCCAUCCUCAAGUUUUUAUGAGGUUUGGCCUGGUGCACUAUAAGGUUGCACUUAGGACAUCUGUUGCUGUGUUCAAAAUGUUUUACGAUGCAGCUUUUACAGAAACUAUGAAGACAUUCUGUAAUGGUCGCCGCAUCUAUUAAGUAGCCUUUGCAAAUAAAACAGGAGAUGUAUGGGA
rnacentral:lncRNA from 1 species